AUUGAACGCUGGCGGCAUGCUUUACACAUGCAAGUCGAACGGUAACAGGGAGCUUGCUCCGCUGACGAGUGGCGAACGGGUGAGUAAUGCAUCGGAACGUGCCGUGUAGUGGGGGAUAACGUAGCGAAAGUUACGCUAAUACCGCAUACGCCCUGAGGGGGAAAGCGGGGGAUCGCAAGACCUCGCGCGAUUGGAGCGGCCGAUAUCAGAUUAGGUAGUUGGUGAGGUAAAGGCUCACCAAGCCAACGAUCUGUAGCUGGUCUGAGAGGACGACCAGCCACACUGGAACUGAGACACGGUCCAGACUCCUACGGGAGGCAGCAGUGGGGAAUCUUAGACAAUGGGGGAAACCCUGAUCUAGCCAUGCCGCGUGAGCGAUGAAGGCCUUAGGGUUGUAAAGCUCUUUCAGUGGGGAAGAUAAUGACGGUACCCACAGAAGAAGCCCCGGCUAACUCCGUG
rnacentral:rRNA from 1 species